AGGGUUUUUGGUUUGUGUAAAAAAAAAAUCUGUUCUUAUCAGUUUAAUAUCUGAUACGUCCCCCAUCGGGGGACUACAUAUUAAAUGGAUUUUUCGAACAGGGAGUCGGAAAUGGGGCUUGCUCCGUCCGCUCCACGCAUCGACCCGGUAUUGCAGUACCUCCGGGAACGGUGCAACACUU
rnacentral:snRNA from 1 species